UGGUCAAGUUAUUAAGGGUGCAGGGCGGAUGCCUUGGCACUAGGAGCCGAUGAAGGACGUGAUAAGCUGCGAUAAGCUUCGGGGAGUUGCACGUAAACUUUGAUCCGAAGAUUUCCGAAUGAGGAAACUCACUUAGAGUAAUGUCUAAGUAUCAUUAAGUGAAUACAUAGCUUAAGGAGGGGAACUCAGGGAACUGAAACAUCUAAGUACCUGAAGGAAGAGAAAGAAAUUCGAUUCCGUAAGUAGCGGCGAGCGAACGCGGAUUAGCCCAAACCAAUAAAGUUUUCUUUAUUGGGGUUGCGG
rnacentral:rRNA from 1 species